CCUACGGGUGGCAGCAGUGAGGAAUAUUGGUCAAUGGCCGGAAGGCUGAACCAGCCAUGCCGCGUGAAGGUCAGUGCCCUAUGGGCGUUAAACUUCUUUUGUGCGGGAGCAAUAAUGGUCACGUGUGGCCCGACGAGAGUACAGUACGCAUAAGCAUCGGCUAACUCCGUGCCAGAAGCCGCGGUAAUACGGGGGAUGCAAGCGUUAUCCGGAUUUAUUGGGUUUAAAGGGUGCGUAGGCUGUGAGGUAAGUCAGCGGGGAAAAGCCCCCGCUCAACGGGGUGAAGUGCCAUUGAUACUGCCUUGCUUGAAUGCGGAUGCCGUUGGAGGAAUGUGUGGUGUAGCGGUGAAAUGCAUAGAUAUCACACAGAACACCGAUUGCGAAGGCAUCUCACGAAUCCGCGAUUGACGCUGAUGCACGAAAGCGUGGGUAUCAAACAGGAUUAGAUACCCCAGUAGUC
rnacentral:rRNA from 1 species